rnacentral:sRNA from 1 species
AUAUCGCCGGAUUCCUCAAAGUAGCAGACACAAUGAUUUCUCAAGGUAUUAUUUAAUUCAAAAAGCCCUUCUUUCUAUCCGAAAGAAGGGCUUUUUUGU